rnacentral:rRNA from 1 species
CCUACGGGAGGCAGCAGUGGGGAAUCUUGCGCAAUGGGGGGCAACCCUGACGCGGCCAUGCCGCGUGAAUGAUGAAGGCCUUAGGGUUGUAAAGUUCUUUUGCCCGUGACGAUGAUGACGGUAACGGGAGAAUAAGCUCCGGCUAACUUCGUGCCAGCAGCCGCGGUAAUACGAAGGGGGCUAGCGUUGUUCGGAAUUACUGGGCGUAAAGCGCGCGCAGGCGGUUCGAUAAGUUAGGGGUGAAAUCCCUGGGCUCAACCCAGGAAUGGCCUUUAAGACUGUCGAGCUAGAGGACGAGAGAGGUGAGUGGAAUUCCCAGUGUAGAGGUGAAAUUCGUAGAUAUUGGGAAGAACACCGGUGGCGAAGGCGGCUCGACUGGCUCGUUUCUGACGCUGAGGCGCGAAAGCGUGGGGAGCAAACAGGAUUAGAUACCCUGGUAGUCCACGCCCUAAACGAUGAGUGCCAGGUGUCGGGAAGCUUAGCUUCUCGGCGCCGCAGCUAACGCCUUAAGCACUCCGCCUGGGGAGUACGGCCGCAAGGUUAAAACCUUAAAGGAAUUAGACGG